CCUGUUUACCAAAAACAUCGCCUCUUGCAUAAUAAGAAUAAGAGGUCCCGCCUGCCCUGUGACAUCUGUUUAACGGCCGCGGUAUUUUGACCGUGCAAAGGUAGCGCAAUCACUUGUCUUUUAAAUGAAGACCUGUAUGAAUGGCACAACGAGGGCUUAACUGUCUCCUUUUUCCGGUCAAUGAAAUUGAUCUUCCCGUGCAGAAGCGGGAAUAACAUCAUAAGACGAGAAGACCCUGUGGAGCUUUAGACAACAAGCAGAGCAAGCUAAAUGCUUUUAAAUUAAAAAAAUUAAACUGCGCACCCUGCUUAAAUGUCUUUGGUUGGGGCGACCGCGGGGAAUACAAAACCCCCAUGUGGAACGAGAAAACAUCACUCUAAAGCUAAGAACCCCCAUUCUAAGCAACAGAACUUCUGACCAAAACGAUCCGGCUAAAGCCGAUCAACGGACCGAGUUACCCCAGGGAUAACAGCGCAAUCCCCUUUAAGAGCCCAUAUCGACAAGGGGGUUUACGACCUCGAUGUUGGAUCAGGACACCCUAAUGGUGUAGCCGCUAUUAAGGGUUCGUUUGUUCAACGAUUAAAGUCCUACGUGAUCUGAGUUCAGACCGGAGCAAUCCAGGUCAGUUUCUAUCUA
rnacentral:rRNA from 1 species